rnacentral:rRNA from 1 species
UGGAUUAGUGGCGAACGGGUGAGUAACACGUGAGUAACCUGCCCUUGACUCUGGGAUAAGCCUGGGAAACUGGGUCUAAUACCGGAUAUGACCUUCCAUCGCAUGGUGGUUGGUGGAAAGCUUUUGUGGUUUUGGAUGGACUCGCGGCCUAUCAGCUUGUUGGUGGGGUAAUGGCCUACCAAGGCGACGACGGGUAGCCGGCCUGAGAGGGUGACCGGCCACACUGGGACUGAGACACGGCCCAGACUCCUACGGGAGGCAGCAGUGGGGAAUAUUGCACAAUGGGCGCAAGCCUGAUGCAGCGACGCCGCGUGAGGGAUGACGGCCUUCGGGUUGUAAACCUCUUUCAGUAGGGAAGAAGCGUAAGUGACGGUACCUGCAGAAGAAGCGCCGGCUAACUACGUGCCAGCAGCCGCGGUAAUACGUAGGGCGCAAGCGUUAUCCGGAAUUAUUGGGCGUAAAGAGCUCGUAGGCGGUUUGUCGCGUCUGCCGUGAAAGUCCGGGGCUCAACUCCGGAUCUGCGGUGGGUACGGGCAGACUAGAGUGAUGUAGGGGAGACUGGAAUUCCUGGUGUAGCGGUGAAAUGCGCAGAUAUC